AAAUGCUCUGGAUUCGAAUUCCUAGUUCUUUUUUUUGUGUUUGUUUUCCUGGAUACGGAUCCAGAUAUCCAAAUUUCAUAGUGAAACCCGAUCAGACCUCUAUUCUAGUUUUCUACAUCUCUUUUCAUCCUCCAGUAAAUCGAAGCACUUAGGCAUCUAGCUAGUUUGCUUGAGAUAGGGCUGAAAAUGGUGAUGAAAUCCACCCAGAUCUGGAUCUGAAUCUGAACCAGAAGGUUAUCCAGGGCAGAUUCAACUUUUGAUAACCUUCUUUAAAAAGCUCUGGUUUCGAAUUCUUAGUUCUUUUUUUGUUUGUUUGUUUUUCUGGACAUGGAUCUGGAUAUCCAAAUUUCAUAGCGAAACCCGAUCAGCCUCCAAGCCUCUAACCCUCUUUCUCUCCAGCCCUCUCACCUUCUAUUCUAGUUUUCUACAUCUCUUUUCAUCCUCCCAUAAAUUGAAGCAGUGCAGCCUCCUUGCCUCUAACCCUCUUUCCCUCCAGUACUCUCA
rnacentral:lncRNA from 1 species